rnacentral:misc_RNA from 1 species
AAGUCGUAACAAGGUUUCCGUAGGUGAACCUGCGGAAGGAUCAUUACAGAGUUUCAAUGCCCCUUCGGGGUAGAUCUCCCCACCCCCUUUGUAUAUAUAAAUUUAUCUGUUUGCUUUUGGCCGGGGCCGCGAGCCUCGCUCGCCCUGGGGUUUCUUGCCCCGGGCGUGCCCGCCGAGGAAAACCUAAACUCUGAAUGUUUAGUGUCGUCGAGUCUUAUAAUAGUUAAAAA